CUUAAAGAGAAGUGUUUAUAAACAUACUGCUUAAAAUGACAGUUAAUUCAUGCAUGCAAAAGUUUUCACCCCCAUGACCUACGAAUUUCAAAAAAGCAGAUGUAUAAAAAUCUAUCGAAGAAUGAAAACGUCAAGAUGCUAAACCACGGCACAAGCGGUACACCAUGCAGCCAGACAGGUCAUCUGUGGUGUACCCCGCCUUGUGCCCGAUGCUCCCUGGGAUAGACUCCAGGUUCGCCGUGACCCUGAAAAGGAUAAAGCGGUGUAGAAGAUGGAUGGAUGGAUGGAUGGAUGUUUUUAAACCUGCCACCUGUAAAACGGCAAGAACUCAAGACCGAGGUUUGUAUAUAAAGCUGAGAAACGUCCGCACACGUCCAUACCGUGUGCCGCUGCUGUAGAAUUCAACCCAUGGUCUUACACGCUACCAAAUUUAGGAAUCUGCAAACAAUUGGAUUGGGAAUUUGGAUCAAUCGCCAACUCUGAGCUGGAGAGCGGAAUAAUGGCAUUAGUCUAGAGGCAAAGCACUGGUCCGGAUUUUCUUAUUCUGUCGGUUAUGAAUGCGUAACAAGCCUGUGGUCUGAUUGGUGAGAUUGGGUGAGAUGGGCCUCAGAAUGUUGAAAGAAGCUCCUCAAUACUGCAUGAUGAGUCCUCGGAGGGGAGAAAAUUGGGCAGAAUUGUUCACACAGAUUGAGAAGGCAGGGUAGUGCUGAAGAUCAUGGAAAUUGGGUGUCGCUUAUGAUUUGAGUUUUCCUCGUCGGUGUGAAAAGAACAAAAACAAAAUCGCGACUCUAGGGAAGCACCAGGACGUUUACUGGGUGGUGUUUAAAUCCUAGCCACCUCGCCCAGGGCUGAUCUCACCCAUAUCUCCAUACAAAGCUGUGAUUAUGUAAUUAUACGAACAUGUCUGUACUGUUAGACGUUCCAGCGGUGAGAUAGAGUGCUUUAUGAUAACUCGAUAUUCAGUGUUCUGAUAAUUACAUUUUAAAGUUUACAUUUCAGGUAGUCUUCCAUGUUUCAUGUAGAAAAAAAACAUUUGUUUUGACUUUCUUUCUUUCUUUCUUAACAUUUUGAAUUAUUUAUGCUUGUCACGUAUCGAGGUUUAGGCAGAAGCAAGUGCAGAUAAUGACAUUUAUUUAAACAAACGUACUAUGAGACAAAGACACUAAGACAACUUGGUAUAACACUGUGGCAUGAAACAAAACACCGAGACAUAAACAACAAGAGUCUAGGACAACGAAAGCCAAGCAAACAGUGCAGACAAGGACUAUAUAUACACACACGAGUGCUCAUUAACAAAACGUGAGUCAGGUGCAGGUGGUCAUGUGACAGCUAGUGCAGUGCAGUGGCUGAUGGGAAGUGGAGUCCAGAGUUUCUUGAUACAUGACAAUGCUGACAUUUUCUUUAAGAAUUGUUUAUAUAUUGCUACACUAUAUGAUUAUAAUCAUGAGAAUUGACGUGAGUCAGUCAGAAGUCAUAUGAGUCAGAUCAGGGAGUCAGGGGGACGCGGGGCCCUCGCAUGUCGUAGCCCUGCAAGUCACAUCCAUGUGAUCAGCCUACAAUAACAAAUCAAAAUCCCAGUUUUGAUCUUAAUCACACGAUGCACAGCAAAGAUACAUCAAUUCACAACUGACUCACGUCUUCAUAUCGCUUCAGAACAGACUGACAGUUCAGACAGCGUCAGCAUGUUGUGGAUUGGGCGUUGUAAAUAUUAGCUCGUUGUUUGAGCAGACAGUUUUAUUUAAACAUGAUUAUCUCUCUGUCUCUCCCUCUCUGUGCGUGUGUGUGUGGGUGUGUGUGUGCGCGCACGUGUGUAAUGAACACGGCCUGACGCUGAUGAACUCUAGUGUUGGUAAUGAGAACUACAUUAUACAAUGCAUUAUGUUCACACUGACCCUCUGCUGACCUUCAGCCUGACACGACCGGGUCACACUGCUAACGGCUAAUGGCUAAUCCAUCCAGAUGUAAUUACAGAUAGAACCGUGAAGAGUGCAGAUCUGAAGGCUGGCAGUUUAAAGUCAUACAAAAAGGCCCAAGACAGCAUUCAAUAUUAAAUGAUAUUGACAGAAGAAUCGACGGAUCAUUUUAUCCGUACAGCGCCGAACGUCAAAUAUACAUCAUAUCUCCUUGCCUUUGUUUCUCAGCCUCGGUCCUGGAGAAUCUCUUCUCCUGUACACUCAGCACACUUCCUUCAAACCUGCGAUUUUGUAGCUGCUCCCUCGUACAGAGCAUAAAUAUACGUCUAUCCUGAGCUGAGCGCAUGCCCUCCAGGAACGGCUGCUUCCCACGUCCGCUAUAUUUAUACCCCGCAUUUAGGUCACAUGACAUCAAGCUAAAAAUCCCAGUGACAAAGAUUUCAUCAGGUCUUUCUAACAGUGUGGAUAUACAGCCCUGCUUAACCAAUCAGAGCGUAAUACAAGUGAGAACCUCAGGUGUUUGCAGACUAAACUUUAUCCACUGUGUCUACGAUAUGUGUGGGAUCACCUCGAACAUCAUACAGGAACUCAGUUGCUUCGUAGACGUCCCAUAACAUUAAAUGUUACUAUAAAUAGAAAAAAAAACAAACACGUAUGACGUGCUAUAACAGCAGGACACAAGUUUUAUUCCUUACUCGUCUACGAUGUGUAACUGCAGUUCUAAAUAGUAAAAACUUGAUCCUAGGACGCACAUCUUGAGAAAAAAAAACAAAAAAAAAACAGGACAAUUUGGAGAAAAAUCCUUCAUUUUUCUUUCCUUUGUUUUUUUUUUUGUUAAUAUCAAGUGACCAGGAUGUUUAUUUCUUGAAAUAGUUAUUUAUCUGUUAGCAUUUUCAGCUUCAUUUAUAAUCUGAUUCUGAGUGUAUAUGAAAAACACGUUUUGCCCGGAGGCGGAACGCUAAACAACACAACGGUGAAGGAAUAAAUCGAGACAAAUGAAUGUUUAAGGGGAAGCGUUUGAGGCAGCGGUUCCUUAUUAGCCUUUACACAGAGACCCGGUCGAUAAAAUCCUGCCACACUGUUAUUCUCAUCAAUAUUUAAUGCCGAGGCGUUGAAAGGUCUCUGGUGCUGAUUUAACCUGAGGCACUUUGAUUUUUUAUUUAUUUAUUUAUUUUUUUCCUUUCUGAAAUGACAGGAAGCAAAAAUACGACUCGUGUCGUGCCGCCAAACAAGGCCUUCUUACAGGGAGUAUAGCGGCACUCCGUGUUUUUCUGUAUCAACCCAAUCUUCUAAACAUUUUCAAUGACUCAUAAGAAGUAACACUGGCUCCUACAUAGAGUUGUAAGAAAAAAGACCACUUUACAGCAUUUUUAUGUAACAUUAACGUUAAUACUAAUGAUACUGAAACGGAUUUCCCAGAUGAGAACCGACAGCAAAUGGAAGAUGACGUUGUUCUAGAAGCAUGUAAAAGGGAAUAAACAGUUUAACCUCUUUGCUUUAUGCUAACCUUUUAAACUAUCUCUGUAAGCUACAUGCUCACCUGUACUUGACAGGUGUAAACAUUUUAUCAUCUUCUUUGUCCGUCUAGCUAUCAGGGCUGGACAAAUAAUCAAAAUCAGCGAUUGGCUAGCAAGUCCUAUGUUUUAGAGCCUCAGAAACCUAAUUGACGAGGCUAAUAAAAAAGUGCUACCCAAUGUAAGGUGUUGACAUAUGGUGAGCUAACUAGCUAAUGAAAUGCAUUGAAACGAAUGUAUUUACGCUUAUUAUUAUCAU